GUUUACAUUGUCAUUGAUAUUUUUCAAGAAAGCCCGAGGCAUAGCUCAUGAAUUCUUGUCAUUACAACCGAAAUUUACAUAAUUACUGCUAAAAUAAUUAUCAGUAUAAUAUAUCUCUUUGUAGAAAAACCAUACAAUUGUAGUAUUAACCAAAAAAUGUCAAACAGAUGAUAUUGAAUCGUAAUCCCAAAAGUUAUGACGUCUUGAAUUCACCCCCCUUUUUAUUCUAAAACGAUAAUUGCGGUUGCAAACAGACUUUGGUUUACUUGCAUGGCGAUUAUAUAAAUAACAGUAUAUAUUUCUUAAAGAAAAUAAAGUUUUACCAUGAAUAGUUUCCUGAACGUAGUCGUUUUCAGUAAAAUGUGCCUUGCAAACAACAGCUGAUUGAUAUGGGUUCUACGAUUGCAUCGCACAUGACAAUCUACGUUUGAGCCAUGGCGUUGAUCCAACUUUUCCUUCUUAUUAAGUCAUUUAGAAAUGCAAGUCCUCCUCUUAAAUGACACUCAGGUACACACCAACAAGGACUAGGCAUCGUUAAUUGUGUGAUUGUUUUGCAGUGCAAAAACGGAAGUUAAGGACGGAACUGACUGGUCUCACUAAUAAGAGACAAGAAGAAUUUUAGAGACAAACAGCGACAAGAAGUUUAAUUUAGUGACGAAGCGACAAUAACUAACAAGGGACAAGCGAAUCGUAAUUCUCUCACGAGGCUAUUCUCAUUUGAUGUGAUAGGGUGAAGCUACACCUAUCAAAUAUGUCCCUAUGAAAAAGAAGAAUUUCACUGUUAGAAAGGAAAUGAUAUUGCAUGGUUUUGAUUCAAUAAAUUCUUUAAAAGGAAAUUGAAAUUUUUUUGUUUUGAUGGCCAAUUUUUAGCGUGUGCAUAAAAUAUAUUUUUUUUUAUAUCUAAUAAAAACUAAUCCCUUUCUUCUUAAUAAAAACAUAUUUUUAUCUAUCAAUGUACAGUAAUAUAAAAAAUGUUUUAUAACCGCCCCUAUAAUAAAAAAUAAUGCAUGUUUUUUUUAAUAUCUAUGGGGAAUAAGUUGUUGCAAUGACAUUUUUUUUAUUUAUGUAUAGUCGCUAUAUAGUCUUCUUGACGCUUCUUCUCGCUAAAUUAAUUAUAUUGUCGCUUCUUAUCGCUAUUUUAAUUUUAUUGUCGCUUCUUAUCACUUUUUGACGCUUCUUGUCUUUAAUUAGUGGAACCCUAUUCAGGAACGAUAAUUUCAUAUUUUACAUAACUGAGACCGAAAUAACUAUAACGUCAUACGGCUUCACGUACAGAAAUACUUUAAAUUGUAUAUUAUGCAAUAUAAUUCACGGUCAGUCGACUUUUAAUUAUAAUAUCAUGUUAUAUCAACGAGUGAAAUGAUUUUAAAAUAUCUUUAGAUCGCAAAUAGUACUCGAAAUUGAACGGACCUCUUUCCACACGGAAUUCGAAUAAUGAUAGUUUGUAAUCAGAUUGACUGCUUAUAAUGCAAAAGACACAUUAAUAAACAGAUUUUUAAAACGAACAAUACACACUGAUCGUUUCUUUAUUUCCCAAUGUAAAUGAAAGGAACAAAAACCAAUACAUACCACAAAAAGUAGAGGAGAAAUUUAAACAUUUCCGGAUCUAUUUCUUGCAAAAUGACCCCCAGCAAAGAUUUGCGUAAGGAAAGAUGAACCUCAUGACUUGAAAGUCAGGCCUUAAAGCACUGCCUUUAAAAA
rnacentral:lncRNA from 1 species